rnacentral:snRNA from 1 species
AUACCCUUUUGGCCUUUUGGCUAAGGUAAGGUGUAAUAUUUGUUAUUCUCAGUUUAAUAUAUGAUAUGUGGACCAUAUGUUCACUCUGAUAUUAAAUUUAUUUUUUUAUGAGUAUUAAAUAUGAUUGUGUGCCGUCGCAACGUAC